UACAGAGACUGCAAGCGUUAUUCGGAUUCACUGGGCGUAAAGGGCGCGCAGGCGGCCGUGUGUGUCGGGCGUGAAAGCCCGGGGCUUAACCCCGGAAUUGCACCCAAAACUACAUGGCUAGAGCAUUGGAGAGGGUAGCAGAAUUCAUGGUGUAGCAGUGAAAUGCGUAGAUAUCAUGAGGAAUACCAGAGGCGAAGGCGGCUACCUGGACAAUUGCUGACGCUCAGGCACGAAAGCGUGGGGAGCAAAAGGG
rnacentral:rRNA from 1 species